rnacentral:rRNA from 1 species
AUGAGUUGCAGGGUAUAGACCCGAAACCCGGUGAGCUAGCCAUGGGCAGGUUGAAGGUUGGGUAACACUAACUGGAGGACCGAACCGACUAAUGUUGAAAAAUUAGCGGAUGACUUGUGGCUGGGGGUGAAAGGCCAAUCAAACCGGGAGAUAGCUGGUUCUCCCCGAAAGCUAUUUAGGUAGCGCCUCGUGAGUUCAUCUUCGGGGGUAGAGCACUGUUUCGGCUAGGGGGCCAUCCCGGCUUACCAACCCGAUGCAAACUGCGAAUACCGAAGAAUGGUAUCACGGGAGACACACGGCGGGUGCUAACGUCCGUCGUGAAGAGGGAAACAACCCAGACCGCCAGCUAAGGUCCCGAAGUCAUGGUUAAGUGGGAAACGAUGUGGGAAGGCCCAGACAGCCAGGAUGUUGGCUUAGAAGCAGCCAUCAUUGAAAGAAAGCGUAAUAGCUCACUGGUCGAGUCGGCCUGCGCGGAAGAUGUAACGGGGCUAAACCAUGCACCGAAGCUGCGGCAGCGACAUGUAAGUGUCGUUGGGUAGGGGAGCGUUCUGUAAGCCGGUGAAGGCGGCGCCGUGAGGCCUGCUGGAGGUAUCAGAAGUGCGAAUGCUGACAUAAGUAACGAUAAAGCGGGUGAAAAACCCGCUCGCCGGAAGACCAAGGGUUCCUGUCCAACGUUAAUCGGGGCAGGGUGAGUCGACCCCUAAGGCGAGGCCGAACGGCGUAGCUGAUGGGAAACAGGUUAAUAUUCCUGUACUGAAUGUGACUGCGAAGGGGGGACGGAGAAGGCUAGGCCAUCCGGGCGACGGUCGUCCCGGUUUAAGCGUGUAGGUGGGAGGAGCAGGCAAAUCCGCUCUUCUGUGAACACUGAGGCGUGAUGACGAGCCGCUACGGCGGUGAAGUGGUUGAUGCCCGGCUUCCAGGAAAAGCCUCUAAGCACCAGGUCACAGACAAUCGUACCCCAAACCGACACAGGUGGUCAGGUAGAGAAUACUCAGGCGCUUGAGAGAACUCGGGUGAAGGAACUAGGCAAAAUGGUGCCGUAACUUCGGGAGAAGGCACGCUGGCGUUAGGUGAAGGGAUUGACUCCCGGAGCCGAAGCCAGUCGCAGAGACCAGCUGGCUGCAACUGUUUAUUAAAAACACAGCACUGUGCCAACACGUAAGUGGACGUAUACGGUGUGACGCCUGCCCGGUGCUGGAAGGUUAAUUGAUGGGGUUAGCCGCGAGGCGACGCUCUUGAUCGAAGCCCCAGUAAACGGCGGCCGUAACUAUAACGGUCCUAAGGUAGCGAAAUUCCUUGUCGGGUAAGUUCCGACCUGCACGAAUGGCGUAAUGAUGGCCAGGCUGUCUCCACCCGAGACUCAGUGAAAUUGAACUCGCUGUGAAGAUGCAGUGUCCCCGCGGCAAGACGGAAAGACCCCGUGAACCUUUACUAUAGCUUGACACUGAACAUGGAGCCUUGAUGUGUAGGAUAGGUGGGAGGCUUGGAAGUGCGGACGCCAGUCUGCAUGGAGCCAUCCUUGAAAUACCACCCUUGAAUGUUCGAUGUUCUCACUUAGGCCCGUCAUCCGGGCCGAGGACAGUGUCUGGCGGGUAGUUUGACUGGGGCGGUCUCCUCCCAAAGCGUAACGGAGGAGCACGAAGGUUGGCUAAUCACGGUCGGACAUCGUGAGGUUAGUGCAAAGGCAUAAGCCAGCUUAACUGCGAGAGUGACGGCUCGAGCAGGUACGAAAGUAGGUCUUAGUGAUCCGGUGGUUCUGGAUGGAAGGGCCAUCGCUCAACGGAUAAAAGGUACUCCGGGGAUAACAGGCUGAUACCGCCCAAGAGUUCAUAUCGACGGCGGUGUUUGGCACCUCGAUGUCGGCUCAUCACAUCCUGGGGCUGAAGUAGGUCCCAAGGGUAUGGCUGUUCGCCAUUUAAAGUGGUACGCGAGCUGGGUUUAGAACGUCGUGAGACAGUUCGGUCCCUAUCUGCCGUGGGCGCAGGAAGAUUGAAAGGGGCUGCUCCUAGUACGAGAGGACCGGAGUGGACGCACCGCUGGUGUACGGGUUGUCAUGCCAAUGGCAUCGCCCGGUAGCUAAGUGCGGGAGAGAUAACCGCUGAAAGCAUCUAAGCGGGAAACUUGCCUUGAGAUGAGUCUUCCCUUGACUUGAGGUCACGGAAGGAACGUUUAAGACGAAGACGUGGAUAGGCUGGGUGUGUAAGUGCAGUGAUGCAUUGAGCUGACCAGUACUAAUGAACCGAGAGGCUUAACCUUACAACGCCGAAGGGGUUUUG